rnacentral:tRNA from 1 species
GGUUGAUUAGCUCAAAUGGACAGAGCAGGAAAUUCCUAAUUUUCAGGUUGGGAGUUCGAGUCUCCCAUCAACCA